GAACGCUGGCGGCGUGCUUAACACAUGCAAGUCGAACGAUGAAGCCCAGCUUGCUGGGUGGAUUAGUGGCGAACGGGUGAGUAACACGUGAGUAACCUGCCCUUAACUCUGGGAUAAGCCUGGGAAACUGGGUCUAAUACCGGAUAGGAGCGUCCACCGCAUGGUGGGUGUUGGAAAGAUUUAUCGGUUUUGGAUGGACUCGCGGCCUAUCAGCUUGUUGGUGAGGUAAUGGCUCACCAAGGCGACGACGGGUAGCCGGCCUGAGAGGGUGACCGGCCACACUGGGACUGAGACACGGCCCAGACUCCUACGGGAGGCAGCAGUGGGGAAUAUUGCACAAUGGGCGCAAGCCUGAUGCAGCGACGCCGCGUGAGGGAUGACGGCCUUCGGGUUGUAAACCUCUUUCAGUAGGGAAGAAGCGAAAGUGACGGUACCUGCAGAAGAAGCACCGGCUAACUACGUG
rnacentral:rRNA from 1 species